GCCGGGCGCAGUGGCCCAUGCCUGUAAUCCCAGCUGGGGGGAGGCUGAGGCAGGAGGAUCUCAAGUUCAAAGCCAACCUCAGCAAUUCAGCAAGACACUCAGCAACUCAAUGAGACCCUGUCUCUA
rnacentral:sRNA from 1 species